GACGAACGCUGGCGGCGUGCUUAACACAUGCAAGUCGAACGGGCCGCCCCUGUUUUUGGGGGUGGGUUGAGUGGCGAACGGGUGAGUAUCACGUGAGUAACCUGCCCCCUGCUCCUGGAUAACUGCUUGAAAGGGCGGCUAAUACGGGGUGUGCCGGCUGGUCCGCAUGGGCCUGGUCGGGAUAGUUUCAUCUUCGGGUGUUUCGGUGGGGGAUGGGCUCGCGGCCUAUCAGCUUGUUGGUGGGGUGAUGGCCCACCAAGGCGGUGACGGGUAGCCGGCCUGAGAGGGUGGGCGGCCACACUGGGACUGAGACACGGCCCAGACUCCUGCGGGAGGCAGCAGUGGGGGGUAUUGCACAAUGGGCGGAAGCCUGAUGCAGCGACGUCGCGUGAGGGAUGGAGGCCUUCGGGUUGUGAACCUCUUUCUCCGGUGGUGAAGGCCCUGUCCGUUGCGGCGGGGUUGACGGUAGCCGGGUAUGAAGCGCCGGCUAACUACGUG
rnacentral:rRNA from 1 species